UCCCGCCAUGCGUGAAACACUGGUUCCUGUGUGAUCGACAAAGUUAAGCAACAUCGAGACUGGUCAGUACCUAGAUAGGUGACCACUUGGGAAUACCAGCUGUUGUAAG